GACGAACGCUGGCGGCGUGCUUAACACAUGCAAGUCGAACGGAAAGGCCCUGCUUUUGUGGGGUUCUCGAGUGGCGAACGGGUGAGUAACACUUGAGUAACCUGCCCUUGACUUUGGGAUAUCUUCAGGAAACUGGGGCUAAUACCGGAUAUGAGCUCCUGCUGCAUGGUGUGGGUUGGAAAUUUUCGGCGGUUGGGGAUGGACUCGCUGCUUAUCAGCUUGUUGGUGGGGUAGUUGCUUACCAAGGCUUUGACGGGUAGCCGGCCUGAGAGGGUGACCGGCCAAAUGGGGACUGAGAUACGGCACAGACGCCAACGGGAGGCAGCAGUGGGGAAUAUUGAACAAUGGGAGGAAGCAUGAUGAAGAAAAGCAGCGUGCGGGAUGACGGCCUUCGGGUUGUAAAAAGAUUUAGAAUGUGAAGAAGAGUGAGUGACGGUAAUGGGUAAAGAAGCACCGGCUAACUACGUG
rnacentral:rRNA from 1 species